CCCAAUAUCUUGAUUUCACUUAGUUCGUGUAAAUGGCCGUCUUUAUUACUAAAUCAUGGAAUAGACAAGGCACAGUGAUGAAAAGGGGGCGCUUUCUGUUACUUUUUAGGCAUGAUGCCCGGGUGAAAUUUCUCAUGAUUAGCCUGGGGAACGCCUUACAUGAAGAAUUGUAAUGGCCCAAGCACAAAAGGCGCAAGGCUAAGUAAUCCUAUCAGCACCACAAAAGCCAGCAAGGUGUUAUAACUGUCGAGACAUCAGGCUACGUCCAACAUUUCUGAUCUACUUGUUUCAUUUGAAAUAGACGAGGGGAAAAAAUUAUCUCGCUGUAGCUUUUGCGAACAUUGUACCAUA